rnacentral:rRNA from 1 species
AUACGGAGGAUGCAAGCGUUAUCCGGAUUUAUUGGGUUUAAAGGGUACGUAGGCGGAAAAUUAAGUCAGUGGUGAAAUCCUGCAGCUUAACUGUAGAACUGUCAUUGAUACUGGUUUUCUUGAAUAUAGUUGAGGUAGGCGGAAUGUGUAAUGUAGCGGUGAAAUGCUUAGAUAUUACACAGAACACCGAUUGCGAAGGCAGCUUACUAAGCUAUGAUUGACGCUGAGGUACGAAAGCGUGGGGAGCGAACAGGAUUAGAUACCCUGGUAGUCCACGCUGUAAACGAUGAUCACUCGUUGUUGGCAAUACAUCGUCAGCGACUGAGCGAAAGCAUUAAGUGAUCCACCUGGGGAGUACGAUCGCAAGAUUGAA